GGAAGUUCUCAGGUGACGCACCCUGGAAUCGGGCUUCCUUCUCUCUGGUUCUGGGUUGUAUCACCUGAGAACCACU
rfam:Myotis brandtii contig273122, whole genome shotgun sequence.